AUUGAACGCUGGCGGCAGGCCUAACACAUGCAAGUCGAGCGGUAGAGAGGUGCUUGCACCUCUUGAGAGCGGCGGACGGGUGAGUAAAGCCUAGGAAUCUGCCUGGUAGUGGGGGAUAACGCUCGGAAACGGACGCUAAUACCGCAUACGUCCUACGGGAGAAAGCAGGGGACCUUCGGGCCUUGCGCUAUCAGAUGAGCCUAGGUCGGAUUAGCUAGUUGGUGAGGUAAUGGCUCACCAAGGCGACGAUCCGUAACUGGUCUGAGAGGAUGAUCAGUCACACUGGAACUGAGACACGGUCCAGACUCCUACGGGAGGCAGCAGUGGGGAAUAUUGGACAAUGGGCGAAAGCCUGAUCCAGCCAUGCCGCGUGUGUGAAGAAGGUCUUCGGAUUGUAAAGCACUUUAAGUUGGGAGGAAGGGCAUUAACCUAAUACGUUAGUGUUUUGACGUACCGACAGAAUAAGCCCC
rnacentral:rRNA from 1 species